rnacentral:rRNA from 1 species
GCAGAGCUUGCUCUGUGGAUCAGUGGCGAACGGGUGAGUAACACGUGAGCAACCUGCCCCGGACUCUGGGAUAAGCGCUGGAAACGGCGUCUAAUACUGGAUACGAGCAGCGGAGGCAUCUUCAGCUGCUGGAAAGAUUUUUUGGUUCGGGAUGGGCUCGCGGCCUAUCAGCUAGUUGGUGAGGUAACGGCUCACCAAGGCGUCGACGGGUAGCCGGCCUGAGAGGGUGACCGGCCACACUGGGACUGAGACACGGCCCAGACUCCUACGGGAGGCAGCAGUGGGGAAUAUUGCACAAUGGGCGGAAGCCUGAUGCAGCAACGCCGCGUGAGGGAUGACGGCCUUCGGGUUGUAAACCUCUUUUAGCAAGGAAGAAGCGAAAGUGACGGUACUUGCAGAAAAAGCGCCGGCUAACUACGUGCCAGCAGCCGCGGUAAUACGUAGGGCGCAAGCGUUAUCCGGAAUUAUUGGGCGUAAAGAGCUCGUAGGCGGUCUGUCGCGUCUGCUGUGAAAACCCGAGGCUCAACCUCGGGCCUGCAGUGGGUACGGGCAGACUAGAGUGCGGUAGGGGAGAUUGGAAUUCCUGGUGUAGCGGUGGAAUGCGCAGAUAUCAGGAGGAACACCGAUGGCGAAGGCAGAUCUCUGGGCCGUAACUGACGCUGAGGAGCGAAAGGGUGGGGAGCAAACAGGCUUAGAUACCCUGGUAGUCCACCCCGUAAACGUUGGGAACUAGUUGUGGGGUCCAUUCCACGGAUUCCGUGACGCA